ensembl:lncRNA
GCGAAGCAUAAUGCUGAUCACUUGAUGUGCCCUAAACCCUUUCCCUGAGGAGUACAUUUAGUAUUUUUGAGAAAUGUGUUGCGUAUAUAACACACUUCAAUCGCUUUACUCCAGGAAGUGAAAUGUAGGGAGAAAGAUUACAUGUUGAAGUAGAGUGUUACAAUUAUGCACUUUAUAAGAUUAAACUAUUAAUUGAUGGCAUUCCUUCCUAACCCUCUUCAGUUCUUUCAUGGUGUUUGAUAAAUACAGCAGGCGAUUCCCUGGACACGUCUAUUUUUUGGGGAGCUGUUUUGUGAAAAUAUCUUUUGCAAAUGCUUCUCACAAUGCAUAUAGGUUUAUGAUGGUGUUUUUUACAUUUGGCAUUCUUUAGGACAGUUAACGUUUCAUUUUCAUGACAUGCAAUAUAUUAUUGUUUAACAAACACUAGAGAUAACAUUCUGAAAAUAACUUAGAAUAUAAAUGAAAAUAUCUGUUUCCCAACUAUCCUUUCCACAGUACUGCUUUGCAGUUAAGGGAGAUCUCCCUUCCUGGCACUGCUUCCCUUCACUAUCCAUCUUGAAGACAGAUAAAAAUAUUUUGUCUGUCAAGCUGUGCCAUGAUAGUUGCAAUGAUAUCCAGAGGAGUUGCAGUUUUAUAGGAUUAAUACUCCCUCCCGAGGCCUUCAGAAUACUACCACAGAGUAUUUCCUUACAGAGUCAGGGUAAGACUUUUUGUGUUUUAUUUCACUAGUGAUUGUGGAGCCAUUUAAAAUCUUCUGGUAACAAAUCUGAUCCGCUCUUGUGUGGUGUCCCAUUGUCCUGCAGUGUGGUAGUACAAACUGAAAUAUUAGGAAGCUUCCUUUUGCAACAAUGGAGAACCAGAAUUUUUUACAGUCAAUUUUUCUUGGGACUUUACUCAGUUUUUACAUCAGGAAAAGGAAUUUCCUCCGGUUACCCUCGUACAUCAGAGGUGCACAGAAAUGCUGAUUACAUUGCUGUGAUAUGUAACACCACCACCAACAGGUACUACGCUACUUUCCCUUCUUUUUUUGUAGGAACAGGUGAAAGUGUUAUAGGAUUAUCCUGAACUAUGCUUUACUUCUGGUACAAUCAUAACAACCACACUGUACGUUGCUCCAGGGCUUUUUAUUUCCUCAGUCAGGUGAGAGACUUAUUAGUCAGAUGUUUCUCUAUUGACUGUGCAACUAGGUUUUAAGGACAACAUACAAAAUGAGGUAGGGAGAUGAAGGGAGAAAUAUAAGGUCAACUCCUAUUCCACUCGAAUACAUUUCAUUUAACAAAAACAAGAGAACCAGUGCUUUUUACUGAAGAAGUGGAGUUUAAAUGUAUGUAAACUUACUAACCAGUUUAAAAGUAGAAGACUUUUCUAUUUUUUUUUCUUUUCCUUUUUUUCUUUUUGUUUUUAUGGAUAACAUAGUCUAAGUAUUGUCCUUUAGAGUUUUCAUAAAAACCUUGAAAUAUUAGUUACAGGAUUGUUUUCUUCCAGGCUUUGUUUUGUUUUGCUUGAUUCUAAGAGAAAGAGGAUCUGGCCAAGAGCACUCAUGCAGAGCAAUUCAUAUGUCUCUGAGGAAUUUGGAUAAAGUUUUCUGGAAACUGGGAAAAGUGGAGGAAUACCAGGAGAUAAUUAAUUAAUCAUAAUCACCUAAAACAUAAGGAUUAUAAUCCUCGGUAAAGGAUGUGUAUCUUUGCUGUCCAUGGACAUCAGAAGACUAUCUGCAGUUCUGUGAAAUCAACAGCAUCUACAGUUGGGAUCCAUCUAUGCUAUAGCAAAUUAAGAAUUUAAGAAUUCAGAAAUAAAGCCCCAAACUUGCAAGCUUUCAUGUCCCUAGCUGAUCUUUCUACUAUGGCAACUUGAAUUUGGAAUUUUCUGACGGACUGAGGUAUACUCUAGCUGAUUCUCUAGAAUUGCUGACCAUGUUUGCGCUUAAUUUUCUGACUGCAUAUUUGAGUAUGAAUACAUGUACACACAGGCAAUUGUUUAUUAGUAAGUAUUACAGCUAUUUUUUUUUACAUAAAAUAAUGAUAUUAAACUGUCUUAAUUGAAUGUCAGAUCUAUAAAGUAAGACUUCUAAAUGCAAGUAUACUAAAGAUCACUUGUUAGUCACCUACCAAGUCAGUAGCUUUGAAUUUUUGUUAUAGCUUUUGAUUG